GUCUACGGCCAUGCCACCCUGAACAAGCCCGAUCCCGCCUGAUCUCGGAAGCUAAGUAGCGUUGGGCCUGGUUAGUACUUAGAUGGGAGACCACCUAGGAAGACCAGGUGCUGUCUGCG
rnacentral:rRNA from 1 species